GCCGCAAUGCUCUGCGCUGGAAGUAUUGCACUUGUCCCGGCCUGUGAAGAGCACGGGA
ensembl:miRNA